rnacentral:rRNA from 1 species
AGCGAACGCUGGCGGCAGGCUUAACACAUGCAAGUCGAGCGGGCACUUUCGGGUGUCAGCGGCGGACGGGUGAGUAACGCGUGGGAACGUGCCCUCUGGUUCGGAAUAACUCAGGGAAACUUGAGCUAAUACCGGAUACGCCCUUUUGGGGAAAGGCUUGCUGCCGGAGGAUCGGCCCGCGUCUGAUUAGCUAGUUGGUGAGGUAACGGCUCACCAAGGCGACGAUCAGUAGCUGGUCUGAGAGGAUGAUCAGCCACACUGGGACUGAGGCACGGCCCAGCCCCCUCGGGAGGGCACAGUUGGGAAUAUUGGACAAUGGGCGCAAGCCCGAUCCAGCCAUGCCGCGUGAGUGAUGAAGGCCUUAGGGUUGGAAAGCUCUUUUAUCCGGGACGAUAAUGACGGUACCGGAGGAAUAAGCCCCGGCUAACUUCGUG